AUUGAACGCUGGCGGAAUGCUUUACACAUGCAAGUCGAACGGCAGCACGGACUUCGGUCUGUGGCGAGUGGCGAACGGGUGAGUAAUGUAUCGGAACGUGCCCAGUCGUGGGGGAUAACGUAGUGAAAAUUACGCUAAUACCGCAUACGAUCUAUGGAUGAAAGCGGGGGAUCGCAAGACCUCGCGCGAUUGGAGCGGCCGAUAUCAGAUUAGGUAGUUGGUGGGGUAAAGGCCCACCAAGCCAACGAUCUGUAGCUGGUCUGAGAGGACGACCAGCCACACUGGAACUGGGACACGGUCCAGACUCCUACGGGAGGCAGCAGUGGGGAAUUUUGGACAAUGGGCGAAAGCCUGAUCCAGCCAUUCCGCGUGCAGGAUGAAGGCCCUCGGGUUGUAAACUGCUUUUGUACAGAACGAAAAGGUUUCUACUAAUACUAGGAGCUCAUGACGGUACUGUAAGAAUAAGCACCGGCUAACUACGUGCCAGCAGCCGCAGUAA
rnacentral:rRNA from 1 species